ACUCCUACGGGAGGCAGCAGUGGGGAAUAUUGCACAAUGGGCGAAAGCCUGAUGCAGCAACGCCGCGUGAGCGAUGAAGGCCUUUGGGUCGUAAAGCUCUGUCCUAGGGGACGAAAAAAAUGACGGUACCCUUGGAGGAAGCCCCGGCUAACUACGUGCCAGCAGCCGCGGUAAUACGUAGGGGGCGAGCGUUAUCCGGAAUUAUUGGGCGUAAAGAGUACGUAGGUGGUCUUUUAAGCGCAGGGUUUAAGGCAAUGGCUUAACCAUUGUUCGCCCUGUGAACUGGGAGACUUGAGUGCAGGAGAGGAAAGCGGAAUUCCUAGUGUAGCGGUGAAAUGCGUAGAUAUUAGGAGGAACACCAGUGGCGAAGGCGGCUUUCUGGACUGUAACUGACACUGAGGUACGAAAGCGUGGGGAGCAAACAGGAUUAGAUACCCUGGUAGUCCACGCCGUAAACGAUGAGCACUAGGUGUCGGGGUCGCAAGACUUCGGUGCCGCAGUUAACGCAUUAA
rnacentral:rRNA from 1 species